CCUGGUGACUCAGAUGGUAAAGAGCCUGCCUGCAAUGCAGGAGACCUGGAUUCAAUCCUUGCAUCAGGA
rnacentral:tRNA from 1 species